rnacentral:rRNA from 1 species
UAGUAAUCGCGAAUCAGAAUGUCGCGGUGAAUACGUUCCCGGGCCUUGUACACACCGCCCGUCACACCACGAGAGUCGAUAACACCCGAAGCCUGUGAGCUAACCUUUAGGAGGCAGCAGUCGAAGGUGGGGUUGAUGAUUGGGGUGAAGUCGUAACAAGGUACC